rnacentral:rRNA from 1 species
AGAGUUUGAUCAUGGCUCAGAACGAACGCUGGCGGCGUGGAUUAGGCAUGCAAGUCGCGCGAGAAAGUUGGCUUCGGCCAGCGAGUACAGCGGCGAACUGGUGAGUAACAGGUGGGCAACGUGCCCUAGAGUUGGGGAUAACUCCCAGAAAUGGGGGCUAAUACCGAAUGUGGCCUUGGCUUCUUAUGAGGUUGAGGGCAAAGGCUGUUCGCUUCGGCGGAUUAGCCGCUCUAGGAUCGGCCCGCCCCCGAUUAGCUUGUUGGUGAGGUAACGGCUCACCAAGGCAAUGAUCGGUAGCUGGUCUGAGAGGAUGGUCAGCCACACUGGGACUGAGAUACGGCCCAGACUCCUACGGGAGGCAGCAGUCUAGAGGCUUCCGCAAUGGACGAAAGUCUGACGGAGCGACGCCGCGUGUGGGAUGAAGGUCUUGCGAUUGUAAACCACUGUCAGCAGGGAAGAGAGCCCGGAUGGUGAAUCCGGGUAGGACGGUACCUGCAGAGGAAGCCCCGGCUAACUACGUGCCAGCAGCCGCGGUAAUACGUAGGGGGCAAGCGUUGUUCGGAUUUACUGGGCGUAAAGAGUGCGUAGGCGGUCUGGCAAGUCUGGCGUGAAAUCCUCACCGCUUAACGGGAGGUUGUCGUCGGAAACUGCCAGGCUAGAGGACGGAAGAGGAGAGUGGAAUUCCAGGUGUAGCGGUGGAAUGCGCAGAUAUCUGGAAGAACACCGGUGGCGAAGGCGGCUCUCUGGUCCGUUUCUGACGCUGAGGCACGAAAGCUAGGGUAGCGAACGGGAUUAGAUACCCCGGUAGUCCUAGCCGUAAACGGUGAGCACUAGGUGGUGGGGGGUGUCGACCCCUUC